ACACCCAGGGAUUGAAUAGUGGUCUCCAAAAAGCUCCCUUUUCUGUCCCUGGGACUAG
rnacentral:pre_miRNA from 1 species